rnacentral:tRNA from 1 species
GCCUCGUUAGCUUAGUGGUAGAGCAUGUGACUUUUGAUCUCAAAAGGCUUGGGAUUUCAAGCCCCACAUUGGGUA